AGAGUUUGAUCCUGGCUCAGAUUGAACGCUGGCGGCAUGCUUUACACAUGCAAGUCGAACGGCAGCAUAGAGAGCUUGCUCUCUGAUGGCGAGUGGCGAACGGGUGAGUAAUACAUCGGAACGUGUCCGUUUGUGGGGGACAACCACCCGAAAGGGUGGCUAAUACCGCAUAAGACCUGAGGGUGAAAGCCGGGGACCGCAAGGCCUGGCGCGAACGGAGCGGCCGAUGACUGAUUAGCUGGUU
rnacentral:rRNA from 1 species